GGAUAGUCUUUUCACACCGUGUGGAUCCAGCAUUGCUCUCAUUCAUCAGCUCGUGUAUUUGCAUUUUCAAUUAAUUGCCGGCGUCACGCACCUCAACUCCGAAAGCAGCCCAAGCUUUGUUUGCGACCCUUAAUUGCAAUCAUUACGCAACGCAAGCAUCCCGCCUUUGAGUGUUCAAUUGUACACUGGGUUUAAUUAUGGGAACGGAGUUAAUAGCAUUACUCAACACUCCAAUAGACCAGAUACUGGAGCCGUUUUCUCCAAAAUGCCAUUAAAUGACGGUCGAACGCUGAACUGGUUGCUGGAGCUGAUUUGCAUAGCAGCCUCAUUUUCGGAGCGGAUGUUUGAAAACAAAGAGGCCUGCCGAUGCAGUUCGAGGGAAUGCUCCAACAUUUUAGCAAAUCAGCUUAUUACGCAUGACUGAGAGUGAGACAGGAUUCAUAUAAUCAAUUUCAUCACUAUCAGUACAAUGGGCACGCGAGCUGUUUCCUCCUGCUUCUCGCCUUUGUGCUAAGCUAGGCUAAAUACGUCCCCUAUUGAACGCACAAAUUAACAAGUAAUAUUGUUAUGGCUUAACCGAAUUUUCAGAGUUAGCUGUUAAAUGCGUAUUGCUUUCAACGCAUCGUGGUUCUCGCACGCAUGCAGACACACACACUCGCAGACAGACAGUCUUAUUUAUUCAUAUGCAUGCGGACACACUCGCUCACAGAUGGAUGUCAACUCUUGCGCGUGAGCGGUUAGGGACAAAGAGGAGACGUGAAGAGGGGGGAGGAGGAGGAGAAAGGGAAAUGAAGCAAUUAUUCUGCUCAGGGCUGCGUACCUGGGGUUAGAGCCUUGCCUCUGGAGUAAAUAAGUCACUGGCAGAGUGUGUGCUCACGUCGCCGAUCUACGGACGGCACACGUGCACGCGCAGGCAGACAGACACACACUCAGGAGCACGGACACGCAAAUUCAAUUUGGCAUCUUGCUACAAAUCUAGAAUAGACACACACUGACACACACUGACACACACUCCCCACCUUGUCACGCAGUAAUGACGCUCUGUGUGCUGCAUUCACGCUCAGCCACUGAGCCAAUAACACAAAGGCGGUAGUAGAGAACCCCCCCCCGCGCUCUACAGCCCCCCCACACCCUUCACCCCCCCUCACCCUUAUUUAUCCUUCUUCUUCUUCUUCUUCUUCUUCUUCUUCUUCUUCUUCUUUUGCCUCACUUCCACCUUUCCGAGCCCCAGUAAGGAAAGGCCCCGUAGGCGCCGUGGAAGAAGAAGGACAAUUUGACUUAAAAGAAAACGAAGGUGAGAGAAUUGAGAGGGAGAUAAAAUAAGUGUGGAAAAAAGAUGGGGAAAAGAGGGAGCAAUUGUGUACUUGUCGGCGUAAAACCAGAGUUUCUGAUAUAAAUCUUAAUAUCCUAUUUAAGGCUUUUCUUCAUCACGGGCUCUGAUUUAUUAGCUGGGCUUUCCCUUUCUAUUUAUCAGAAUAAACUAUGAGCUCCCGGUGGCGUCGGGAAAGGCAAAUUAAAGCAAACAACAGAGCGAGGCGGAGGGGAGCGGAGGGGAGGAGUGUGGCGAGGUUUUCCACGUGGCGAGGCCUACUCAGUCAUACCUCUCCCCACCCUCCCUACUCUUCCUUUACUCACCGGUGUAAAUGGCUGAGCUCCACAAGAACCAGGGUUGUGUGUGUGUGUGUGUGUGUGUGUGUGUGUGUGUGUGUGUGUGUGUGUGUGUGUGCGUGCAUCAAAUAUGCGGUGGUGAUUUGUGUGCCUCCAUCCAUAUCGGUGAAUUUUGCCUACCUUAUACACUCAGAUAUU
ensembl:lncRNA